rnacentral:rRNA from 1 species
CCUACGGGGGGCAGCAGUGGGGAAUAUUGCACAAUGGGGGAAACCCUGAUGCAGCGACGCCGCGUGAGUGAAGAAGUAAUUCGUUACGUAAAGCUCUAUCAGCAGGGAAGAAAUACUGACCUUACGGUCAGCAGACGGUACCUGAGUACGAAGCCCCGGCUAACUACGUGCCAGCAGCCGCGGUAAUACGUAGGGGGCAAGCGUUAUCCGGAUUUACUGGGUGGAAAGGGAGCGUAGACGGUGCGCCAAGUCUGGAGUGAAAUGCCGCAGCUUAACUGCGGAACUGCUUUGGAAACUGGCGAACUAGAGUGCUGGAGGGGUAAGCGGAAGUCCUAGUGUAGCGGUGAAAUGCGUAGAUAUUAGGAGGAACACCGGUGGCGAAGGCGGCUUACUGGACCGUAACUGACGUUGAGGCUCGAAAGCGUGGGGAGCAAACAGGAUUAGAUACCCUUGUAGUC